CUUCCAUAUGCUUCAGGUGCAGCCCUAAAAAGCAAACAAAACAACAAAACAAAACAAAAAAAAACUCCACAAAUCAAAGCAUGUAACACUUGUGUUUUCAUUGCUGCAAUGAUGUACACUUGCUUUUAGAAUAAAACACAAACUCAACAGGGCUAUAGAAUCCUAUUGAUUUGGUUGUCCAAAUUCAUCUUUCACAACUCUCUUAACUCUAAUUUAUUCCUUUCUGAUAUGGCCAUAUUGACCUUCUGUAUUCCUGAAGGUGGCAUGUUCUCUUCUGCCAGAAAAUUUGCAUUAAGGUGUUUGCAUAAGUUGCUUCCAUGGCCUAGAAUAUUCUUUCCUUAGAAGUUGAAAACUUCUUUUCUUCCAAGUCCCAAAUAAAUGAAUAUUUUAGCUAAGUGUACCUAACUAUGCUGUGCUCAGAUCCAACUAUCAUCUCUCUCUCAUUGCAUUAAUUCAUUUUAUUCACAGACUUCACUGUUGUCUAAAAUUAUCUUUCUUUUUAUUUUUCAUUUAGUCGGUUUAACUAUUGAUAGUUCUUAUCAGUAGAAAUGGAAGUGCCACAAGAGCAGUAGAUAUUUUUGCCUUAUUAACCACUAUAUUCCAAGUGUCUAGAUUAGUAACUGGCAUAAAGUUGGCACACAAUAUAUAAUUAAAUGAACCCUUCAAUGGGAGAGUCAGGUGGGGGAUUUGAUAAAAAGAGAAAAUGCAAAAUAGUGCACCUUUAAAGAUAAGGAGCACAUGCUAGUUUUUUUUUUUUUUUUUGUCCUUAAAGAAGUUAACUAAGCUAUCAGUUGAAGAUGGAAUGUUCAAGUAUUUAUUACCAUCAUUUCACACACCCAGUAAGAGGUUAAUGAAACACAAAGAAAAGUUACAAAAAAUAAAGACCUCUUGCUUGAAAUUGAUGAAGCAGACUUUUUGCUCUUUCUAACUCCAUCUACUCCUAUAUUAGCACAGUAGUCACUUGCAGAGCAUAUGGAAGCUAGCAUAUGGAAGCUAGCUAGUAUAAUGAUUGAAAGAUAAACAUCUGGAUAAUGGAAGAAGUGAUGCUGAACCUUAGAUUAAUUGCAUUUUAAGGAAUUUCAGUGACCUAACUUGAGUCAAGUUUAAAGAACAAAAUCUACAUUAAGAUGACACAGAAAAAAAAAUUGAAUGGGUUCAGUAAAAAAAAAAAAAUAUAUAUAUAUAUAUAUAUAUAUAUAUAUCUUUAGCAAUGCUUUCUUGAGUUGUCUCUAACUAUUGAUGCUAGAUAUAAUGUACAAGUCCUUAACACCAACCCCCUCCUUCUAUACUUCUCCCUACAUGUAAGGGACUGGACCCCUUUCCUAGGCUGCUUUACCUGAUGGGUUCUAGUUUAGUUACACCAGUAAGAGGCAUUCUUAAGAAAUGUGAAAUGUGCAAGAGGGAAAGAAGCUAUUAUUCUCCUCCAGAAGGUUGAUGUGGGAAUAGAUAGAGUAUGAUGGUUGCAGUGGCAUCAUAGUGGCAUUCCUGUGAACUCCUGAAAAUGCUUUAUUUUGCUGAUUCAGGAAGCUGUAAUCUCUAACAUCAACUUUCUUUGUUCAUAUAUCUUGUGUUUCUGAAAGCUAGCAACAGUUCACUUUUUGAAAGUCAGUAGUAGCUCUUUCUGAUCUAAUUUUAUUAAUGGAAAUACCUGCAGAAAAGAAAAUGGGGCAGAGUCUGGAAGGGCUGAGUAAGCCUUUAGACCAUGACACAUGUGAACCAGAGUUAAGGAGAGCCAAGCAAGUACAGAUAGAAGUGUCCUAGACUUUCAAGCAAUCCGGGUAAGAUUAAACACAGCCAGUGGCAGUCCUCAAGUCAAAGUCAGCUAUUUGAAGGAGUCUUUUUUUUUUUUUUUAACCUAGGAAUAAGCCUCCCUUAGCAUCUCUGUGAUGGAUUUCAGAGGCAGCACCUCUGAAAUCAGAGGUCAAUCAAGCUCCAAGAAGCUGGAAAUCCUCCAGGUAUAUACUCAGGAACCUUAUAGUCACCCACCUCCCUGGGGUCUCACUGUCUUCAUUUGACAAAGGAAAUAAAAAUACCCACCUCAUCUCACUUUGUCCCCAUGAGGAGCCUAUAAGUGAAUUCAUGUCAAAAUACCUAAAAUAGAAAACUUUCCAUAGCCAAUAAAGGAAGGAAUUCCCGGGAAGGGAGAAAAAUAACUUCAGAAAUGAUCUAACAUGCUGUGGUAAAGUAAUUCUCUAUCGAAAAAAGAGCUAUGAAACCAAUGCAUACUCCAGACGGUGCUUAGUUUUACCAGGGAAACUCACCAGAAUCCAAAACAAAAACAAAUGUGAGCAGUACCCACAGACCUAUGCUAUGGUCUUAAUACCAAAUCUCACUUGGCUAGCUCAGCUCUCAAAGAGAAAAAUUGACAUAAAAUGUCAGUUCUCAGAAUACGCAUACCUUUUAAAACCAUCAAUAUUCCUCUGAUUUACCAGCUAAUUUAAUUUAAUAAUUGUAUUAUUCUGCUGUGGCUUUGUACUUAACUGAUGACAUAAUUUUUCCCACUAGAGGUACAUCUUUAAGACAAUAAUCCCAAACUUUCUACUACUACUUUCUUAAGAUGAGAAAAUAAAAAAUAAAAAAUUUGCCUUAAGAAUUGAUAGCCUUCACAGAAACUAUAUUCAAUCACUUGUAAUGGAACAUGAUGGAAGAUAUUAUGAGAAAAUGAAUGUGUAUAUAUAUAUAUAUAUAUAUAUAUAUAUAUAUACACACAUAUAUGUAUGUAUGUGGGUCACUUUGCUGUACAGCAGAAAUAGACAGAACAUUAUAAAUCAACUAUAAUAAUUUUUUCAAAAGGAAUUGAUAGCCCAUUCUCAAAUUUACCAGUGAAUAAAGAGAAAUGAUAAGUUAGCUCCUACCUCCUGGAUCUCAUCACACUGUCCCUUCAAGGAACUUCCCCAUUCUAUUGAUGACAUUGAGAACUUUGGUAAGUGUUAACAAAAAACAGUCCAGUAGAUCUGGUCACUGUCUUUACUGUAAGGACUUAAAUGCUUUCAAUACAUUAAACAAUAACUUUUCUGUGAGAAACCUCAGAAUAUAUUUCUCUCUGAUCUUAAUAAGAGAAUUCUCACUUUGCCUUACUGCAGGAUUGUAAAACUAUUAAAGCUAGAACUGUGCAAAGCUCUCUUAAUAAUCAAUACAAACAUUUUUCAGUAUUCUAUAACCUUAAUUUCCCAAGACAUUAAAAUUCUUAGUCUUAGGGAUAAAUGUACAAGGAAUUAAAAAUAGUAAAGCUACUAUUGAUUAAAUGUACUCUAAGCUAUUAAAAACAUUGAAAAUUAAAGUGUUUUAUCUCUUUGUAAAAAAUAAAACUUAUCAGAAGUAGUUUAAACAAUGCUUACCUUCUCAACUUAGAAUAGGAAGCAAACAUUUUAUACACCUUGGAAAAUUGUCAUAUAUUACUUUAUAUGUUUGCAUCAACUCACAACAUAUAUUCCUCUUUAUGCUUUACUUUCAAUGCUGUAAAAUAACUUUAGAAAGUUCCAUUAAUGUGAACUUUUGAUGGCAUUACUUUCUCUGCAUCCUUUUUAUCCCAUCAACUUUCCUCAUUUAUGUCUAUAAGGUGGCCUUCACUAAGUUCCUCUGACUGCAUGUCUACAUUUCUCAAAUGAUGGCAGUGCCAACAUUUCUACAGUCAGCUAUUUCUUUUAUGAUUCCACAUAAAAUUAAUCAGAGUUCCCAUUGUGGCACGGUGGAAAUGAACCCAACUAGCAUCCAUGUGGAUGUGGGUUUUAUCCAUGGCCCUCUCAGUGGGUUAAGGAUCCAGCGUUGUGUUGAGCUGUGGUAUAGGUCACAGACCCAGCUUGGACCCUGCAUUGCUGUGGCAGUUGUGUAGGCUGGUAGCUGUACCUCUGAUUCAACCUCUAGUCUGUAAUUUUCACUAUUAUCAUAUUUGUUUACUUACUGCAUUUCAUCUUUGUUGGCCUAUUCUUUCUUUUGAUAAUUUAUCUUGUAAAGUAUCACAUGGGUUCUUACUUGGAGACAAGAAAGCAACACAAGUGUAUGCUUUAAUGUCUGUGCAUGCUGUCUGAAAACAAUCACCAAGAGCUUGAGAAGGAAGUUUCAUGAUUGAUCACUGAAAAUGUUGUAUGUAGAUAUUGAAUAAAUGGUUAGCAGUGAAAUGUAGAGUUCUUGCAAUAAUGCAUAGUUAAUAUAUCACGGUAACCAAAAUUUGGAUCAUGUUGUUGGAGGACUAAUAUUAGUUAACUAAAGCAAAAUAAUGGAAACUGAAAUCCAUGAAUAUCAUAACUAUGCAAAGUGACAACUGCAGGCAUUAGCAUAGUGAAGCUUUCUUAGAGCAAUGAAAUUAUUUUAUUAUAUGGAUCAGUACUAUCCUAAAGAGAUACAAUGAAUUGCAAUUGCAAGCCACCUAUGUAAUUUUAAAUAUUUUAGUAGCCACUUUAAAAGUGAAAAAAACAGGGAAAAUUAAUUUUAAUAAUGUAUCAUAUUUAACACAAAAUAUAAAAAUGUCAUCAUUAAAACUUAAUUGCCAUAAAAUUAUUAAUGAGAUAAUUAUAUUCUUCUUUUAUUCUAGGUAUGAACUUCAGAGUGCAUUUUACACAUGGGACUUUUUAAUUUGGACUAGCCACACCUCAAGUAUCUAAGUCACAUGUGGCUAGAGACUACUUUUUUGGACAAGAUGAAUACAGAUACUAAAUACAUAACAAUCACUUUCCUCUUUCUGUUGGAUUUUAAAGAAUCUUUAUUUCUCUUAUCAAGAAGUAUAGCACAUUCAACAGACUGGCUUUUCAUUGCAAAACACUCUGUGGAGGACAACAUGAUUAGCAGAUGAAUUUGAUAAGCUCUCUUUAAAUCAGAUCCCUAUUAAAACAAGCAACUGGAAGGUUCUGAGUAUAUUGGUCCUCCAAGAGUCAAAGAUGCAGUGGUUUCAUAGUAGAACAAAGAUGAAGAAGAAAAGACAAAAUGCCACUCUGAAAAGUAAUUGUUUGAAGUGCUCUGCGGGGGAAAAAAUCAUGUUCAAUGUAUUCCAUGCCAUUGCUUCUGUGUAUGCAGGAGAAGCAUGUUGCAGUAUUGAAUUGCAAAGGAUCGUAUUUCUUUAAAAUUAUUUGGAAAUAAUAAAAAUAUAAUAUCCAUCUACAAUCACCUAUGUAGCAAAUAAGGCAAAAUGCCCUUACAACAGAGCAGAGGAUAUGUAUGUGCUAACUAUAUUUUCUUGCAUAAUGGUACAUGUUUGAAACCUAACAAAUACUAAAAAGACAAAGACAAAAAUGGGAAGAAAGUAAGCUCCACUUCUGAUAUGAUGCCACCAGGCUGAGGCAUCUUUAAGCAACCAGUCCUGGCCUGGCUUGUGAAUAGGGGAUAAAGGUAGUGAGGGUGUGCUAGAAAAAAAUAUGAAUUGUUCCAAGAUCAUCCAUCCUUUCAAGUGAGACUUGACUUGGUCUGUGAAAUUUCUGCCCAGAAACCAGGGAUGAGAAUAUAAGAGGAUGGAAGGUCAUUCCACUUCUUUUGGUAAACACAAUUUAAAAAUAGAGGGCUUAAAUAUAUGAUAAUUUACGGAUCAUACAACUAUCCUGUGAAGAAUUCAGUGCAGCCCAAAUUGACUUUCUUAUCCUGCUCGAUCCAUAAAAUAUGCUUAUUUUUUCCACUAUAUCUGUGUAUUUAUUUCAUAGCUCCCUGUCCAAAUCAAAGAGAAAUACUGUUUUGUCAAAAAUUGAAUUUCUUUUAGUUUGAGUUUUUAAUCAUUUAAUUUUGGGACUUCAGAAUUUUUCUGGAUGAAGUAGAUUAUGACUAUUAUGAAAACAUUAAAUGUUCCACUUGCCAAACUUAAACACACACACAGAAUGCCAGUGAGUCAUUAAUUUUUUUACAUCAAAUAUUCUCAAUCUGCUAAUAACAAACAUUUGGUUGAUCUCAAAAAAGUUUUUUACCAGGGGACUUGUGAUGAUAUAAUGUUCCAUAAUUCUCCUCCCUAAAUUCUCAUCUCAAACUCUUACAAUAUGUAUGAAAGCAUAUAUUCUACUUAGGUAUCCUUGAUAUUGAGUCCCUCAGCAUCUCCUAUCUCCAAAUUUCCUGGCAAUAUAGAGCACAGUAACCCAGGACUACUUACAAAUUUUAGUUAUGACCUGGUAGAGGUUUCUCAGUUUCUCUUCAUUAGUAAUAAAAUCAGAACCACAACCUUCACCAACAACACUUAUUGGGCUAUUCUGUGAGCCAAGUAAUUUUCUAAGAACAGUACUCAUACUAACGCCUUUAAUAUCCACAAUAGGCCUACUGUUAUUAUUUUGCACUUUAUAGAUGUGAAAAUUGAGUUUCAAAAUGAAUCCAAGGUACAUAUCUAAUAUGUGUUGCAGCUAGAAUCCAACAAACCCACAUGGGUUCAGAGUUCAAAUCCUUAACAGACAUGGUAUACUGCCUCCAAUGUAAAAACUUAGGCUCCUUCAGUGGUUGUUGAAAACUUUUUAACAGAUGAGUCCCAUGAAAUGUUAUGCACUAGCCCAGUUUUUAAGGCAAAUAACAUUAGAUUCUUCUGAUUAAAUCAAUACUGAUAAGUUUCUUGCCUUAUCUUACUUUUAACCUGACUGGACUCUGAUCACAAGGAAACCCUGGGACUCAAAUUGAGCAUGGCAAUUACUUUAAAAAUACUUUCCAAAAUAAAUUUAAGUGCAUACUUCCUAGACAAGCAAUAGAUUGGCUGAAUAAAAAUUGUGUAUAUUUUAAUUUUCCAGGUAAUUCUUCUUUUUAAAACAAUCCUAUUAGUGAAUUUUAUGGUCACAGUUAAAUCAAACUUUACUUUCUUUUUUGAUUUAUAAUUUUGUACUAUACUGUCUCACUUUUGUGGCAACACCUUCUAUUUUAAAGAUGAAAAAAGUAAUAGAUUUGCCUUUAAAGACUAAAAUUAAAAAAAGCUUAUAUCCUUUAAGAUCAAAUGAGAGAGAUCAUUUAGGAAAAAGUGGGAGGAAUUAUUGUCCAUGGAAAUGCAUCAUUUAUAAUUAGAUUAUUCUUAACUCAAUAUUCUAGUUAUAUUUUAUUCUUUAGUCUCUCCUCUUAAUCUUGAAUAUCUCCAAUUCUCAACACAAUUAAUCAUAAAUAAUUGUUAAAAUUUAUAAAAGUAAAAUGUAAUCUCUGACACUAAAUACGGUAUUAGAUAAUCUUUUGACAUCUUCUUUUAAACUAAUAUCAAAGUGGGAAAAGAGUUAAAAACAUUUUCCUUGGGUUAAUCUGCAUUAUUAAAUUAAGAUCCUAAAGCAAAUUAAGUGCCCAGUAAAAGAAAGCCAUUGCCAGGGGAAAAAAAAAAAGAUAUAUUUAGAAUUUUAUCUUAUUAUUUUUGGAAAAAAAAAUUCAAUGCUAGAAUUAAAAAGGAAAAAAUAGUUAUGGCAACUUACUUUUAUAAUUCCCUUUCCAUGAACUUUAGUGCUGUUUUCCACCCAUCUCAUUUCAGUGCUUUUCUUUCAGCCUCAGUCUUUCACUCCUACUGCCCAUCUCUCUUCACUCUGCCUCUGACUAUGUAACCAGAUUAAGUCCUUGCUUGCUGACUAUCCCAAAAGAGACUUUUCAUGCAUAAUUACUAGACUCAAAAAUACUGAAUUCUUUAUUUAAGAACUCCAUAUUUCAGAAACAUAUUUUAUAUUUUUCCUGGGAAUUCUUAACCUACUUCGAGGAAAUUCCCUUUCAGAUUAGAUGAGUGAAACUUUAGGAAAAAAAAAAAAAUAAGUGGAAGAAUAAAUGGUACACAUUUUUUUGGUUCAUUAAAAAAUGUUCCUAAUGGAAAUUUUUGCUACAAAGUUUAUUCCUCUUCAACCUAGUAAGCAGCUUUAAGUUCUCUUCAUACCUGCUGACAAGCAGUAUUUCUCUAUGAUUUCUCAGCCAACCAUGGCAUACUUGAGGAAAAAAAUAGGCCUCUUAAAUUUUCCUAGUUAGAGGUUUAUUAAAACACCCCUUUGACUAGAAGGGAACUAACCACUAGGGAAUAAGAAAAAGGCAAAAAUGAUAGGGUAGAUUUCUUCUCUGGAGUUCUUAUAAAGAUUCAAGUAUCUGUUUCUCUUUUCCAGAAACUGCUCUGAGGACACAAGAGUACUUGUGAGAGUCCCACUUUCACAAUAGAAAGAUGGCAACCUCACUGUUAAUCUGUGACAACAAACUAACGCAAAAACUGCUCAAGACAAAGCAGGCUUUGGAUAAUUCCUGUUUCACACACACAUAUGCAAAUAUCUGAUUUUCUUCUGCUAUUUCUGGAAUAUCUAAUAAUUACUGCAAAUCAACCUAUUUAUAUAUCAGGAUUUUGGCCUAUUUCAUGAUCCUAUUAUGUGUCUUAUAGAAUUAAAUUUGAAAUAUACUUGCAUUUUGAUCAAUCCUUCCAAGCACUGUACUAGCUUUUAGUCUUUUUAAGUUGUAUUUUCAUAAAAAUUUUUGAAUUACUCUGGAAAUGUUUAAAUUUCAAAAUAAGUUUUGCCACUAAAAAUUUACCAUGAAUUCCAUUACAUAAGCAUGUUUUAUUUAAAUCCCAAACUUCUGGGACAAUUUGUAAAUAGUCAAAUCAAGAGUAAUUAAAAUAUAAUUUGAAAAAAAUCAUCUAUUAUUAAAUAAAGUGUUAGUAAGCUAACUGUCCUUUUUUUAGUUUAUUCUAAUUUAAACAACUUUAAUCAAAUUUAUUCUAAUAUUUUCAUUAAAAUCCUAAUUGGCCACUGCUGAUAUGUGGAAAAAUUCUAUAAAUGUAGGUUAAUUUUGUGUCCCUUAAUUUAGUAAGCUCUCUUAGAAAUUAUCCAAGUUUCUCAGUUGCUCUUAUAGAUUUUCUAGGCAGAUGAUCACAUAAUGUUCUUGCCUAGAGACAUGACCUAUUAUUUUAAAAUUUUUAUUAUAGCAUAUUUACAAUGUUCUGUCAAUUUCUGCUGUACAGCAAAGUGACCCAGUCAUACAUAUAUGUGUAUAU